rnacentral:rRNA from 1 species
AAUCAACGCUGGCGGCGUGCCUAACACAUGCAAGUCGAACGAGAAAGGGUAGCAAUACCUGAGUACAGUGGCGCACGGGUGAGUAACACGUGACUAACCUACCCUGGAGUGGGGAAUAACUGAGGGAAACCUUAGCUAAUACCGCAUAAUACCUACGGGUCAAAGGAGCAAUUCGCUUCAGGAGGGGGUCGCGGCCGAUUAGUUAGUUGGCGGGGUAAUGGCCCACCAAGACAAUGAUCGGUAUCCGGCCUGAGAGGGCGCACGGACACACUGGAACUGAAACACGGUCCAGACUCCUACGGGAGGCAGCAGUGGGGAAUUUUGCGCAAUGGGGGAAACCCUGACGCAGCAACGCCGCGUGGAGGAUGAAAUCCCUUGGGAUGUAAACUCCUUUCGAUCGGGACGAUUAUGACGGUACCGGAAGAAGAAGCCCCGGCUAACUUCGUGCCAGCAGCCGCGGUAAUAUGAGGGGGGCAAGCGUUGUUCGGAAUUAUUGGGCGUAAAGGGUGUGUAGGCGGUUUGGUAAGUCGUGUGUGAAAUCUUCAGGCUCAACCUGAAGUCUGCACACGAAACUGCCG